AUGCUUGCUUCGGCAGCCCAUGUGUUAAAAUUGGAACACUACAGAGAAAAUUAGCAUGGCCCCUGCACAAGGAUGACACACAAAUUCGCGAAGUGCUCCAUAUUUAA
ensembl:snRNA U6 U6 spliceosomal RNA